CUAAACACACAUAGAAGAACCAAUGAAAAGUUACCUUGGGUCGAGAGGGUAAAACCAGAGAAUAUAAAAGUGUAGGGUUUUGUUUGAGAGAAUAUCCUUCCCCACACACCACACUCAACACAGUGUGGCCAAAUGAUUUUGAGGCCAUUGUUGUUGGUGUCAACAUGCCAUUGGUGUUCACAUAAGCAAUAAUAAUCCAAUCUGCUAUGUGCCAUGCAUCUUGAUAUGAUCGAUAUGUGCUG
rnacentral:lncRNA from 1 species